GACGAACGCUGGCGGCGUGCCUAAUACAUGCAAGUAGAACGCACAGUUUAUACCGUAGCUUGCUACACCAUAAACUGUGAGUUGCGAACGGGUGGGUAACGCGUAGGUAACCUGCCUGGUAGCGGGGGAUAACUAUUGGAAACGAUAGCUAAUACCGCAUAAUAUUAAAUAUUGCAUGAUAAUUGAUUGAAAGAUGCAAUUGCAUCACUACCAGAUGGACCUGCGUUGUAUUAGCUAGUAGGUGAGGUAACGGCUCACCUAGGCGACGAUACAUAGCCGACCUGAGAGGGUGAUCGGCCACACUGGGACUGAGACACGGCCCAGACUCCUACGGGAGGCAGCAGUAGGGAAUCUUCGGCAAUGGACGAAAGUCUGACCGAGCAACGCCGCGUGAGUGAAGAAGGUUUUCGGAUCGUAAAGCUCUGUUGUAAGAGAAGAACGGGUGUGAGAGUGGAAAGUUCACACUGUGACGGUAUCUUACCAGAAAGGGACGGCUAACUACGUG
rnacentral:rRNA from 1 species